GACGAACGCUGGCGGCGUGCUUAACACAUGCAAGUCGAACGGAAAGGCCCUGCUUUUGUGGGGUGCUCGAGUGGCGAACGGGUGAGUAACACGUGAGUAACCUGCCCUUGACUUUGGGAUAACUUCAGGAAACUGGGGCUAAUACCGGAUAGGAGCUCCUGCUGCACGGUGGGGGUUGGAAAGUUUCGGCGGUUGGGGAUGGACUCGCGGCUUAUCAGCUUGUUGGUGGGGUAGUGGCUUACCAAGGCUUUGACGGGUAGCCGGCCUGAGAGGGUGACCGGCCACAUUGGGACUGAGAUACGGCCCAGACUCCUACGGGAGGCAGCAGUGGGGAAUAUUGCACAAUGGGCGGAAGCCUGAUGCAGCAACGCCGCGUGCGGGAUGACGGCCUUCGGGUUGUAAACCGCUUUCGCCUGUGACGAAGCGUGAGUGACGGUAAUGGGUAAAGAAGCACCGGCCAACUACGUG
rnacentral:rRNA from 1 species